CCUACGGGAGGCUGCAGUGGGGGAUAUUGCACAAUGGGGGAAACCCUGAUGCAGCGACGCCGCGUGGGUGAAGAAGCGCCUCGGCUCGUAAAGCCCUGUUAGCAGGGAAGAAAAUGACGGUAAGUGACGAAGAAGCUCUGGCUAAAUACGAGUCAGAAGCCGCGGUAAUACGUAGGGGGCAAGGGUUAUGCGGAUUUACUGGGUGGAAAGGGGGCGCAGCCGGUGGUGCAAGACAGGAGUGAAGGCCCUGUGUUCAACCCGGGGGCAGCGCUUGAAACUGCGUGGCUUGAGUGCAGUAGGGGCAGGCGGAAUUCCAGGUGUAGCGGUGAAAUGCGUAGAGAUCGGGAGGAACACCAGUGGCGAAGGCGACCUUCUGGUCUGCAACUGACGUUGAGGCCCGAAAGCGUGGGGAGCAAACAGGAUUAGAUACCCCAGUAGUC
rnacentral:rRNA from 1 species